UCUACAUUUAUAUUUGAUAUUUGGUCCCUUUGGUACUGGGGCUUAUCCAGUUCAUUGCACCCAGGAUUCCAGGACAAGGGAUAGAGUGCAUUUUCCAUUAUAUUUGGAUAACUGGUUGGCAGCGGCGGGAUUCUCCUUUUUUCCCUGCACAAAGGAUUCAAGGAAGGCACUAGUGUACAGUGCAUGGAGGGCUGGUACACACAGCUUAAACGCAGCACGCGUGGGCCUGUCGCCAGUUCGUUUUACCCUCAUCUCGCAGCCUCGACUCGUUGUUACGAUUGCCUCCAGGCUAGCAGGAGGUUGGAUCGCUUGGAUGUCCUGGUUCCCGAAGUCAAAACGAACUGGCUUUACUGGCACACAAGCAUGGCAAUUUAUGCAAGUCCCCAGGUCCAGGGACAGCCCCCCAUGGACCUGAUGGGAUACAGGUACAGUACACAUAUUCAACCAAUCACAAUACAGUGUAUCAUUCAAACUAGUACCCGCCCAGCUUGGAGAUAAUGAGGCCAACAGUUUAUAC